rnacentral:rRNA from 1 species
CACGGGGGGAGCAAGCGUUGUUCGGAAUCACUGGGCGUAAAGGGCGUGUAGGCGGUCAGGUAAGUGGGAUGUGAAAUGCCCCGGCUCACCCGGGGACCGGCAUCCCAUACUGCUUGGCUUGAGUACGGGAGAGGAUGUGGGAAUUCCUGGUGUAGCGGUGAAAUGCGUAGAUAUCAGGAGGAACACCUGUGGCGAAAGCGGCGCACUGGACCACAACUGACGCUGAGGCGCGAAAGCUAGGGGAGCAAACAGG